UCUGUUGGCUGAUGGAGCUGAGGCUCGGGUCCCACCGGACUGGAUACAUCUGUCUCUAUUCAAAGCUGCUGCCUGAGGCUGGGCUUCCAGUCAGCUGGAUGGCGGUGCUGACUCCCUGUGGGGCACUGGCAGGUCUUGGUGCACCCUCAAUAGACGCCCUGACUCCAAAAGGCAUCUGCACGUCUGUGUUCACCUCGGCAUUGUUCAAAGCAGCCAGCACGUGGAGUCCACCUAUGUGUUCCUGAGGGAUGGUGGCUAAAGAAGACAAGGUAUAUACACCGUGGAACACUGUUCAGUCGUAAAAAGGAGAUUCUGCCGUUUUUGAUGACACGUAUGGGCCUUGAGAUCAUUAUGAGAUUCACAUGUGUGGUAAAUUACAAGAAGAAAAUCCCAUCGGAAAACUGUAUGAAGACUGUUCUCAAGUAUUUCAGCCCAGCUUAGCAGAAGGGAAGGGAGAAGGCCCAGGAGGUACCUUCCAUCGACUGUACGCAGUGUUAACAAUCCUAAGAAAUCCUGGCUUGAUGACAAUAGCAGAUCUGAUUCAUGAAAAAUAUGAAGAAAACCUUGUGAGUGAAAAUUGGAAUCUACUUUGUGCACAUUUCCUCUUGAUUCAUGUUUUUGGAACAGAGAAUCAGGAGCCAUAUUUCCUGGGUUCAAACCUGAAAUCCACCACUUCCUUGCUGUGUGACCAGAGAGGGAAGAGAACAGGAGCGAGUAGAGGAGGAGUGAGAAAGGAAGUACAGGGGAGAGGAUGCCUCACUGAAGCUCCCCAUGGCUCACAGCCACCCAGGUGCACGGCAGGGACAGCAAGAAAUCUGCAGGGAAGCAGAGGGCUGCAGUCUGGGGAUGGGCUGUCUGUGAAACACCUGCGCAGGAAAAUGUGUGUGAUGGAGAACACCGACCGAACCUGGCAGCCUAGCAGAAACGAAGUUGGUAGAACUGCAAGCAAAAUGAGAGAAAGACCCUCAGGCACCGAAGCUUGAUAGCGACAGCCUCAAAAAUUGAAGCAGUGCUCCUAAGAGUAGCCUCAGGUCAGAGGAGGAGGUGGAGGGGCCUUGUUGUAAGAAAAGGAGUACCAUUUGCCUAGGUCAUGACUGUGCCAUAACACACAGGUUAAAUCAAGAGCAAACAAACAAUAGGAACAAAGAAAAUGACAUCUAAGUUUUAAUCCAGCAGGUACACUAUAUUUUAGGACAUAAUGUGAAGACUCAGGAUCUUCUCAUGUUUUCACUUGAUGUAAUGCAACAUAGUGAAGUCGAUGUUCCCGUUUUCACCCUAGGGUAUGCAGGUACCAUCCAUUAGCUUGAAAACAGAUUAACAGGGCUCAAAGCCAGCUUCAGAACAGCAGGCAUUCAAUGAAUGGAUUUGACAUCCAUCAAAUGAAUCUCAGCCUAUAACCUAACCAUCUGAAAUACAUCCCAGUUUUGUUAAGUGCUCCACAGUCCCAUGAUGUAAUACACUUUCUUUUACUUCUGGAUUUAUGAUAAAAGAAAUCUUAUCUUGUUAACUAAAACUGAAUUACCGAUACAUUAAAAAG
rnacentral:lncRNA from 9 species